UUUAUCCCUAUUCUCACAAAACCCAACAUUUCCCUCUUCUAAUAUUUCAUUAUCAGUUACCAAACCCUCCAUUGUAGCCUCAAGAUAACUGGUCGAAGCACAAUAAACAGAGUUAUUCACUACGGUGGCUCUAUUUUUCAAUAUUCUAAAGAUUUUGAUGCCCAAAAUGACAAUGUAGAAUCCGUGUCCAAAUUUCUUGAAUUUGUAGUCUGCUUCAGAAGUGAAAAAGACUUGAGCUUUGGCCGGUGCUGCACAGUGGCCUCUCUUUCUUCUUGGUUUGAAAGAGCUCUAUCCAUAAGGAAUUACCUUCAAUUUCUACCUCUACCAUAUCUGGUUCUAAAAGUAAAACUAAAGGCAAGAAAUGUGAUUUUGAAUUCGUGGAAAUAGCAAUAAUUAUUGAAGACUAGUUGCUCAAGCACUAAAGAAAAAUGAACUAUGG
rnacentral:lncRNA from 1 species